rnacentral:rRNA from 1 species
GCCUACGGCCAUACCACCCUGAAAGCGCCCGAUCUCUUCCGAUCUCGGAAGCUAAACAGGCGCGGGCCUGGUUAGUACCUGGAUGGGAGACCGCCUGGGAAUACCAAGUGUUGUUGGCU